rnacentral:rRNA from 1 species
UACGUAGGUGGCAAGCGUUGUCCGGAAUUAUUGGGCUUAAAGCGCGCGCAGGCGGCCUCUUAAGUCUGAUGUGAAAGCCCCCGGCUCAACCGGGGAGGGCCAUUGGAAACUGGGAGGCUUGAGUAUAGGAGAGAAGAGUGGAAUUCCACGUGUAGCGGUGAAAUGCGUAGAGACGUGGAGGAACACCAGUGGCGAAGGCGACUCUUUGGCCUAUAACUGACGCUGAGGCGCGAAAGCGUGGGGAGCAAACAGG